rnacentral:rRNA from 1 species
CUCGUAGGCGGUUCGUCGCGUCCGGUGUGAAAGUCCAUCGCUUAACGGUGGAUCCGCGCCGGGUACGGGCGGGCUUGAGUGCGGUAGGGGAGACUGGAAUUCUCGGUGUAACGGUGGAAUGUGUAGAUAUCGGGAAGAACACCAAUGGCGAAGGCAGGUCUCUGGGCCGUCACUGACGCUGAGGAGCGAAAGCGUGGGGAGCGAACA